rnacentral:rRNA from 1 species
GACGAACGCUGGCGGCGUGCCUAAUACAUGCAAGUAGAACGCUGAAGCUUGGUGCUUGCACCGAGCGGAUGAGUUGCGAACGGGUGAGUAACGCGUAGGUAACCUGCCUGGUAGCGGGGGAUAACUAUUGGAAACGAUAGCUAAUACCGCAUAAGAGUAGAUGUUGCAUGACAUUUGCUUAAAAGGUGCAAUUGCAUCACUACCAGAUGGACCUGCGUUGUAUUAGCUAGUUGGUGAGGUAACGGCUCACCAAGGCGACGAUACAUAGCCGACCUGAGAGGGUGAUCGGCCACACUGGGACUGAGACACGGCCCAGACUCCUACGGGAGGCAGCAGUAGGGAAUCUUCGGCAAUGGACGGAAGUCUGACCGAGCAACGCCGCGUGAGUGAAGAAGGUUUUCGGAUCGUAAAGCUCUGUUGUAAGAGAAGAACGAGUGUGAGAGUGGAAAGUUUCACACUGUGACGGUAUCUUACCAGAAAGGACGGCUAACUAC